UACGGGGGGGGCAAGCGUUGUUCGGAAUUACUGGGCGUAAAGGGCGCGUAGGCGGCCUUCUAAGUCGAACGUGAAAUCCCCGGGCUCAACCCGGGAACUGCGUCCGAUACUGGAAGGCUUGAAUCCGGGAGAGGGAUGCGGAAUUCCAGGUGUAGCGGUGAAAUGCGUAGAUAUCUGGAGGAACACCGGUGGCGAAGGCGGCAUCCUGGACCGGUAUUGACGCUGAGGCGCGAAAGCUAGGGGAGCAAACGGG
rnacentral:rRNA from 1 species